rnacentral:snoRNA from 1 species
AAGACUAUACUUUCAGGGAUCAUUUCUAUAGUAUGUGACCAAAAACUUGGGUUCAGAGCCACAAGGGACUUAUUGCUGAUCUUGUAGCUGUAGGGCUUUGCUUAGGGAGCAGAAGGUCAUCUGA